AUGGGCCCGCGGCGCAUUAGCUAGUUGGUGAGGUAACGGCUCACCAAGGCGACGAUGCGUAGCCGACCUGAGAGGGUGAUCGGCCACACUGGGACUGAGACACGGCCCAGACUCCUACGGGAGGCAGCAGUAGGGAAUCUUCCACAAUGGGCGAAAGCCUGAUGGAGCAACGCCGCGUGAGUGAAGAAGGAUUUCGGUUCGUAAAACUCUGUUGUAAGGGAAGAACAAGUACAGUAGUAACUGGCUGUACCUUGACGGUACCUUAUUAGAAAGCCACGGCUAACUACGUGCCAGCAGCCGCGGUAAUACGUAGGUGGCAAGCGUUGUCCGGAAUUAUUGGGCGUAAAGCGCGCGCAGGUGGUUUCUUAAGUCUGAUGUGAAAGCCCACGGCUCAACCGUGGAGGGUCAUUGGAAACUGGGAGACUUGAGUGCAGAAGAGGAUAGUGGAAUUCCAAGUGUAGCGGUGAAAUGCGUAGAGAUUUGGAGGAACACCAGUGGCGAAGGCGACUAUCUGGUCUGUAACUGACACUGAGGCGCGAAAGCGUGGGGAGCAAACAGGAUUAGAUACGCUGGUAGUCCACGCCGUAAACGAUGAGUGCUAAGUGUUAGGGGGUUUCCGCCCCUUAGUGCUGCAGCUAACGCAUUAAGCACUCCGCCUG
rnacentral:rRNA from 2 species